UACAGAGGGUGCAAGCGUUGUUCGGAAUUAUUGGGCGUAAAGGGAGUGUAGGCGGUUCGUUAAGUCUUCUGUGAAAUCUACGGGCUUAGCCUGUAACGUGCAGAGGAAACUAGCGGGCUUAAGUGCCGGAGAGGGUGGCGGAAUUCCCCAAGUAGAGGUGAAAUUCGUAGAUAUGGGGAGGAACACCGGUGGCGAAGGCGGCCACCUGGACGGUAACUGACGCUGAGACGCGAAAGCGUGGGGAGCAAACAGG
rnacentral:rRNA from 1 species